GACGAACGCUGGCGGCGUGCUUAACACAUGCAAGUCGAACGGAGAGGCCCUGCUUUUGUGGGGUGCUCGAGUGGCGAACGGGUGAGUAACACGUGAGUAACCUGCCCUUGACUUUGGGAUAACUUCAGGAAACUGGGGCUAAUACCGGAUAUGAGCUCCUGCUGCAUGGGGGGGGGGGGGAAGGGGCGGCGGUUGGGGAUGGACUCGCGGCUUAUUAGCUUGUUGGUGGGGGAGUGGCUUACUAAGGCUUUGACGGGUAGUCGGCCUGCGAGGGUGACCGGACACAUUGGGACUGAGAUACGGCCCAGACUACUACGGGAGGAAGCAGUGGAGAGUAUGGAAGAAUGGGCGGAAGCCUGAUGCAGCAACGCCGCGUGCUGGAUGAUGGCAUUCGGGUUGGAAACCGCUUUAGCCGGUGACGAAGCGUGAGUGACGGUAAUGGGUAAAGAAGCACCGGCUAACUACGUG
rnacentral:rRNA from 1 species